ensembl:lncRNA
UAUUAUAUAAAAAAUAAUUUUUUACCUUAUGUAUAUCGAAAAAAAAACUUAUUAAAUGAAGAAGAACAAAAUAAAAAUAAUAAAAAAAAUAAUUUUUUAGUAAUAAAAUUAAAAAAAAAAAAUGAUAGAGUAUUUGAAAAAGCGGAUAAAAACGAAUUGGACGAGAAGUACAAUGUACAAUUAGAUGCGAACAAGUAUAGUAAGAAACAUGGAAACAGUGGGACGAGCGUCGAAAAUGAACAAAAUGAACAAAAUGAACAAAAUGAACAAAAUGAACAAAGUGAACAAAAUGAACAAAGUGAACAAAGUGAACAAAGUGAACAAAGUGAACAAAGUGAACAAAGUAAGACACAUGUUGAAAAUAUAGAGAGUGACCAAAGUAGGACGAACCUCAAAAAUAAACUACUGGACCGAAACAGAACAUCGUUUUACCGCUUAUGGAGUGAGUACUAUCAAUUUUGUCCAGUUUCAUACAUAAAUGAAAAGAAAAUAAUAAAGGGUAAAGAUAAAUAUGUAACAAUAUUUAAGAAUAAGAUAUAUAUGUUAUCAAGUUAUGAAAAUAUGGUUGAAUUUUUACGAUAUCCAAAUUUUUAUUCUAGUAAAAAAUUAAAAAAUUCAGUAAGUUUCACAUUUGUAAUUUAUUUUCCUAAUGAUGUAAUAAAAACAAAAGUUAUGAGUAUAUUAAAACAUAAUGAUAAAAACAUUGUACAUAUAGAUUUAAAUAAUUAUUUUCAAAACUUAUUUGAAAAAAAAAUACAUAAAAAGAUAGAAGAUCAAAAUUUAGACACAUAUUUAUUUGAAAUAAACCGUUUAAUUGAAGGUCAAAUGUUGUCUUGUUUAUUUAUAGUAAGAUAUUUAUGUAUUAAAAUGAACAAAAUUUAUCAUUUUAAUAUAUAUAUUAUGAAAGAACUUGUUUUAAGCUUAGAUAAGCUGAAAUAUACAUGUGAUGAGCUUCUAAAGUUAAAGGAUAAUUUUGAUAGUGGUCAUAACAACAACAGUCAAAGUAACAGCCACAGUAACAACAAAUACGAACAUAAAAUAAAAAACAAACGUGAAGAGCUGCAAAACGCAAUCUUCACCAAUACAUUAAAAAUAAAUGUUAUGUACAAUCUGCUAAUUAUUAAUAGAAAUAAUGAUAUAGAUAAUGGCGCUAAAAAUGUAUUAAAAAAAAUGUUAAACUGUAUAAAUUUUAUUUAUUUAAAUGUUAUAAUAGAUGAAUUGCAAACAUACAUUGAUAUGCUAUACGAGUUUGAGAGAAAAAAGUAUGCGAAUAAAAUGCAAGAUAUGAAUAAGUAUAGUAAAGAGGUUCAUAAAAAAAAGUUAGUAGUAGUACCCACUGAUAGUUGCGACGAAAUGGUUGACAAAGUGGUUGACAAAGUGGUUGACAAAGUGGUUGACAAAGUGGUUGACAAAACGGUUGACGAGUCGGUAAGCGAUAGUUUACAAAACACAGUAGCAAGUGAGCAAAACAAAAAAGGUGAGAAAAAUAAAGCGUAUAGUACUAUACACCCAAAUAGUAAAAAUAAUAUAACGUUUUUAAGUAAGCAUUAUAUGAUUACCGGUUUGCCACUAAAUGAUGAGGUAUAUAUGUAUCUAAAAAAAAUAAAUAUAAACAUAGACACAAUAGUUGCUUUUGAAAGUGAUAAUGAAAAUGGAUUAAAUAGCUAUGGUAGUAGUAGUUAUAAUAAUGAAGAAGGAGAUGGUAGUAGGCAGAAUGGACUAAUAGGAGAAGUAAAAGAUGAAGAGCAACAACAAAUCGAACAGAAUUUAAGCUAUUAUAACUAUUACAAAGCAAACAAAAAAUAUGAUACUAGUAGCAACGGUAUAAAAAAAAAAAAUAAAAUAAACAUAAGUGAAUCUAAUUGCUACGAUUGCAUGUAUUUUUAUAACAGAAAUUAUAAAAAACAAAUCAAAAAAUUAAAAAAAAAAAAAAAUAUAUAUAUAUAUAAAGUUCAUUAUAUUCGGUUUGUGACAAAAAAUAAUAUAUAUUAUUAUUGUGCAAACGAAAUCCAGAAGCUUUAUGAUCCUUACUUUCAUUUUUAUUUUAAUUAUAACUAUAUUUUGAACAAAAAGAUAUUUAAUGAUAAAAUAAACAAAAGUUAUACAAACAUGUAUUGUCCAUUUGUUUUAAAAAAGUAUAAAUGGUUAUAUAAAAGUGAGAAUAACAUUAAACUGAUUUAUAACGAUAAAUUAAAUUAUCUUUCUAACUAUUUUAACGCAUUACAAUUUGCACAAAAUAAACACUAUUUUUUAAAAAAUAAUUAUAAAGUACCUCCAUUAAGAAUUUUAUUAUUAACUGAUUAUGGUUGCGCUUUUGAUGAAUAUAUAGAUGGUAUCUUACGUAAAUUCCCCAUAAAAAAAAUAGACAUAGAAAAAGAUUUUUUACACUACUUCAAGUACAUAUGUAUAUACAUAAUUAAAUAUAUUUAUAUAUAUAAAAAAAAAGAGAAUUUCAAUUAUUACAGUAGUAGAAGAAAACAAAAGUUGUUACAAACAAUGUUAAUUCAAUCGGUUCCUUUAGAUAAGUUUAACAACACAGUGUAUAUAAACCAACAAGAUAUAUAUUUGAUAGAAAGCAAUAUGAAUUUUAGUAUUAACGUGUUAGAACAAUGUGAUCUGCAAUUAGAUAAACAAAUAUACACUAUUUUAUUUUCUAUUGUUAAACCAUUUAAUGUUCUGUUAAAUCUAACUAAACUUUUAACUAUGAGGUAUAUACUACACGAAAAUUUAGAAAAUUGCAUAAUCAGAUUUACUUGUUCGAAGCAAAAUAUUUUUCAUAUAACAACAGAGGAAAGGAUGUUGUUAUAUUUGUCAUGGGUUAUCAAAAAAAAAGAAAAAAAUAAUAGCAGUACUAACAAUAAUGGUGACAACACUUGUCGUAAUAAAAAAGAAAAUGGUGUGGAGGUAACAAAUAUAGAUAAACAACAGCUAGCUGAGCAAGAAAAAAUAGUUUCUACUGAAAAUGUUGACACAGAAGUAUGUUCCACGAGUGAAACUAUUUUUUCCUCUAAAAGUAGCAGCGAGGUGUCGUCGAGCGACACCAAUAACGAUUACAGUUUUAAUAAAAAAAAAAUAAAAAUAAAAAAUAUAUCAAAAAUGUUUAUAAAUAAGAACAGGCAGACAAUAAUAAACAGUGAGUAUUCUUUUUUAUCUAAAGAUAAUGUGUUAAAUACAUUUGAAAAAAUUUUAAAAUAUUCUUUUCGGGUUCCUGAGUUGGUAAUUUACUUAAGACUUGAUGCUUCGACAUUUUUUAACAGGUUGAAGUUAGCUAAGUUGGAAAGAAAACAGUUUGCUUUGGUUGAAAAGUGUGAAGGGUUGCAGACGGGGCAUGAUUGGCACAAGAAAAGCCACAGCAGGCAUAACAAAAGUCAGAAAAACAAAGUCGAGCAAAAUCAAGUUAACCAAAACCAAGUUAACCAAAACCAAGCCGAACAAAACCAAGCCGAGCAAAACCAAACCGAGCAAAACCAAACCGAGCAAAACCAAACCGAGCAAAACCAAACCGAGCAAAACCAAAUCAAAUACAAGGAAACAAAAAAGGAAACAAAAAAGGAACAGCUAAAAGAAAUAAAAAGAGUAUCCAAAAAAAAUAAAAAAAUUGCUACUUAUUUAGAAACAUGUAGCAACAUAUGGAAUAUCGAUACCGGCAGUGUUAACAUGCUAAAUGUAAAAAAUUCGAUUGAAAAUAGACUGAAGGAUUGUUUAAUAAAUAGAAAUAAUUUAUUUUACCAACUAAACAUUCAAAGAGUAGACAGAUUAUGGGCUAAUUUUUUAAAAAGUCAUAAUUAUGCAAACUUAUCAAGUUUUCUUUUUUAUUCACCAGUUAACGUAGAUAGUAUUGUAGAUAUUGAUACUGAAUUUAUAGUUUUGUAUAAUAAUUUUUUAUUUUAUUUUAGAAAUGAAAAAGAAUUAAAUUUGUUUCAAAAAAAACCUUGUCAUUACUUGAGUAUACUAAAACCAGACCCUUGUUUUAUAGUACCUUUUGUUUUUAUUUAUUCGUAUAUUGAAAUAAAUUUGUUACAUAAUGAGUUGAUAAAAAGCACCAAGUGCAAAGUGAUAAAUAAACAAAACUUAAUAUCAUUUGGAUGUCAAAUUAACAAAUAUAAAAAACAAAUAGAAGAUAAUAACAUAACUGAUGACAUGAUUGUAGAUUUGUUGCUUAUACGAAUAAAUCAGUAUGAUAUAUUAGCACAUGGAUGUAUAUUUUAUAAUUUGCCUUAUAAUAAAAAACAGUUGGAUAAAUUGGUAGAUUGUAAAAAACUGCCUCAAUUGAUUUUUGUUAUUGGUCAAGACGUUGCUAGUAAGACGGAAAUCGUAAGAGGUGGUAAAAUGAAGGAGACGGGUGCAACCUAUAGCAAACAAACAGUAACACAAAAGAGCGAACAAAAAAGCGAACAAAAAAGCGAAAAACAGAACAAACAAAAAAACACAAACGAAGUAAACGAAAUAAACACUGUAAUAGAAGCGUCAGACAAUAACCAACCCUCCAAAAACGAUAACAGUAUCAGCGUUAGUACCCGAUUUGUGCAAACAGUAGAAGAUAUGUUUAAAGCCAAAUACGAUAACAUAAUUUAUAUAGACUAUACUAAUGCAUGGAAGACAAAAUAUAAUAUAAUUACUUGUAUUGAAAAAAAAAUCGAAGAAUAUCAAAAAUAUAAUAGGUAUAAAUAUAAUAAUAAAAUAGCAUAUUUUAAAGGUUAUAAUAUAUAUGAAAAGGAAAAUUAUGAAAAGGAAAUAGAAUUUGAUAAUUUCUGUUUAGUUACAUAUAAAAGAAAAAGCAUAUUACAAAAAUGUGAUAUUAUUAAUAAUUAUACUAUUCAUUAUAAUGGUAAGUUUUAUUUAACUACUACUAUCGAUAAUGUUAGACAUUUUGAAGAGUCACCAGAUACAUAUAUAAAUGUAGACAAACCUGUACACACAUUUGAAAAAAUUGAUGUAAUAAAAGAAGACACUCUGAUAGAAAAUGAAAGCUUUUGUUUAGUUAGCUUAGUAGAAGAAAAUGCAUUCAUAAAAGGUGAUAAAACUUGUUGUAUUAAAUUUGAAAACAAAUUUUAUUUAUUUAAAAAUGAAGAAUGCUUAAAUAAAUUUGUAUGUAAUCAUACCAAGUAUUUACAUAAUAACAGUAUAUUCGAUAUAAUUAUAAAUAAGAUACAAAAUUCAAAUGAUAUUACAACAUUAGUUUAUUUAAAAACGUAUUUGUAUGAUAUCUUGUGUCACGCUUUGUAUGAGUUAGGCAAAUAUAGGCCCUUAUACCCAGGAUUAAGUGUUAAACAAAGCGCAAUCAAAUUUUUGGCUUUGUUUUUUUACAAAGAAAAUAUACAAUUUUCUGUCCAUUUAAAAAAGUUCUAUGAACAAGCUUUUCAAACGUUUUUAAAAGAAUGUGAAAUACCAAUAAACAUUCAUAUGUUGCAAGAAAAGUUUCAAAGCAAUUGUGAGAGUACUUGCAACAAGGGCGACAAAGGCGGUGAUAGAAGUAGUAGUAGUAGUAGUAGUAUACAACUUCAAAGCAUUAGGAAGCCGUUUAAAAAAUGGACACGUGUAGAUAUAGAGAAGUACGAGCGCUACAUAAGUAUGUACGACGUCAUUUUGUAUUCACAGCAGGAGAAACGGGGUCCAAAAAGUAGUAGUAACAUUUAGUUAAAACGGCUGAUAUUAAAAAUGGACAGUUUGAAUAUAUAGUAAAAAUAUUUUAAAACUAUGAGUAAUGGGAAGUUUUAUAGCUCGUUUUGAAGUAUGUGUUUGCGUUUGCGCAUUCGCGUGUUUAUACGUUCGUUAAUUCGUCAAUUCGUCAAUUCGUUAAUUCGUCAAUUCGUUAAUUCGUCAAUUCGUCAAUUCGUCAAUUCGUUGAUUUGUGCGUAUGUAUAUUUUAUUUAUUGAUUUAUUUUUUUUAAGAACGCGCAAGGUAAAACAUGCAAAAACGCAACACAUAAAAAAAAAGUCGUCGUUAAGACAGCUUUAUGACAGUCUAUAAAAAGUAAAAAUAGCGAAUACAUUAUUGACCAACAAUAUGAGCACAAGAAAGGCAAAAAACUAGCGAUUUUUAACAUGACUUGUUAAAAAAAAAAGAGCAUUUAUAAAAAAAAAAAAAUAAAUAAAUAAAGGAACAAAUAAAGAAAUCGUGU